rnacentral:rRNA from 1 species
CGACCUGCAGGCGGCCGCGAAUUCACUAGUGAUUAGAGUUUGAUCCUGGCUCAGGACGAACGCUGGCGGCGUGCUUUACACAUGCAAGUCGAGCGGCAGCGCGGGGCAACCUGGCGGCGAGCGGCGAACGGGUGAGUAAUGCAUCGGAACAUGUCCAUGUCGUGGGGGAUAGCCCGGCGAAAGCCGGAUUAAUACCGCAUACGUCCGAGAGGAGAAAGUGGGGGACCCGCAAGGGCCUCACGCGAUUGGGUUGGCCGAUGUCCGAUUAGCUAGUUGGUGAGGUAAAGGCUCACCAAGGCGAUGAUCGGUAGCUGGUCUGAGAGGACGACCAGCCACACUGGGACUGAGACACGGCCCAGACUCCUACGGGAGGCAGCAGUGGGGAAUUUUGGACAAUGGGGGAAACCCUGAUCCAGCCAUGCCGCGUGUGUGAAGAAGGCCUUCGGGUUGUAAAGCACUUUCGGACGGAACGAAAUUGCGCGGAUUAAUAACCCGCGUAGAUGACGGUACCGUAAGAAGAAGCACCGGCUAACUACGUGCCAGCAGCCGCGGUAAUACGAAUCGAAUUCCCGCGGCCGCCAUG